ensembl:processed_transcript
UGUAAAUGUUCCUCUGUGUCGAGUUUCUUCGCUACUUUUUUGCUUUUCCUGAACACUUCCGGGAUGUACAAGUGGCUCAAACUCGCUCAUUUUGAGGCAGGAACCGGUGGACGUACAACAACUUUAACUAUGAGCAGUUUCCUUGUAAAGAUGAACCCAGGGAAGGAUCGAAAGUGGAGAAGACCAGAUCAAGAAAGACUACAUCAAGAUCUGCGGUC